AGAGUUUGAUCCUGGCUCAGAGCGAACGCUGGCGGCAGGCUUAACACAUGCAAGUCGAACGGGCUUCUUCGGAAGUCAGUGGCAGGCGGGUGAGUAACACGUGGGAACGUGCCCUUCGGUUCGGAAUAACUCAGGGAAACUUGAGCUAAUACCGGAUACGCCCUUACGGGGAAAGGUUUACUGCCGAAGGAUCGGCCCGCGUCUGAUUAGCUUGUUGGUGGGGUAACGGCCUACCAAGGCGACGAUCAGUAGCUGGUCUGAGAGGAUGAUCAGCCACACUGGGACUGAGACACGGCCCAGACUCCUACGGGAGGCAGCAGUGGGGAAUAUUGGACAAUGGGCGCAAGCCUGAUCCAGCCAUGCCGCGUGAGUGAUGAAGGCCUUAGGGUUGUAAAGCUCUUUUGUCCGGGACGAUAAUGACGGUACCGGAAGAAUAAGCCCCGGCUAACUUCGUGCCAGCAGCCGCGGUAAUACGAAGGGGGCUAGCGUUGCUCGGAAUCACUGGGCGUAAAGGGCGCGUAGGCGGCCGAUUAAGUCGGGGGUGAAAGCCUGUGGCUCAACCACAGAAUUGCCUUCGAUACUGGUUGGCUUGAGACCGGAAGAGGACAGCGGAACUGCGAGUGUAGAGGUGAAAUUCGUAGAUAUUCGCAAGAACACCAGUGGCGAAGGCGGCUGUCUGGUCCGGUUCUGACGCUGAGGCGCGAAAGCGUGGGGAGCAAAC
rnacentral:rRNA from 1 species